CUUUACAGAAGGGAUGCAACACUCCUAGAGAAUCUAGAGCACGGUUCAACAAUGUGCGAAGUAUGUUAGUACAGCUUCAAUCUCUAAACUGAGCGGUCUGGAAGAUGAGUGAGAAUUUUGCACCGGCAACAUGUUUGUGUAAGACACUCCGAGUGGAGAUAGUGUAGAACCUAGCUUGUUUGCUGGUUGUGCUUUUUCGCCGAGUCGCGUCUCGUGUCGCGAUAACGAUUACAUUACGGGUGCAUCAUCAGAGGUACUGGAACUCGGGCUGAUAUCGCAGAAGCAUUACUCGAGACGUGUCAAUACCUCAGGAAGUGUAUUCCAGAAGAGCAGUUGUGCGCAAUUAUUUCCUCCGCCUGCAGCAUGAAAAUAUAUUCCUACGUGCUUGGCAAGUUAGAGGAUGUGGGAGAAUAAGUGCUUAUCCUUGUCGAAUCGUGCUGCAGGUUAAUGAGCCUUGCAUAUAUCUAGUGGGUGGCAGGCAGCCAGCCGCCAGAGUGAAGUGUUGCCGUAGCAGUUGCUGCGACUGGUACGAUCCUCCGGCGAGUGAAUUGGACUGGAUGUUUGAAGCGGAGCUACAGUGAAUCUUACAGAGCUUACAUUAAUUUGGAAGUUCAUGAUGUGUACACCAUUGUACAGUCAAUAGUUGAAUGGAUAGCCGACUGACUAGUAGAACCAAUUUUACCGCACCGGCUCGCUACAUUCUUCAUCCAGUUUUUUCGUAGUUCGCCAAGAUUUCAUAAUUCUGAUACGGCAACAGUGCUCUUCGAUGUUUAUCCUUGGUAAAAAAUCUAGCGACGAAACCCGUAGUACUAACGUAACUUCGUGAGAAAAACACCGUGCGAGGGUUUUUGUGGUGUUGAUGUUUUGAAAAAAAAAAAAAAGUUUCCUAAGGCUGUUUGGCUUCUGAUUGUUUUAUGUGAGUUCGCGGAAAGCGUGUUUGUUAAAAGCGAAGUUUGCUCGUUAAAUGUGCUGAACCCGAAAAGAAUGAUUGUGUGCGAAUAUCGUGAAAAUAAUCAUAAUUGAAGUUACGCUAACACACAUUGUUCAGAGGUGGCUGCGGGAAAUCGGAUUUUGCAUACCUACUUCAAGUUGCUGUGAUUUCUUUAUUUUCGAGAGCAUCGAGAGUCUGCUGGAUAUCUGAGCCCAUAUGACGUUUACCUCUACAGACGGCACCGGUAACGACAAAGAACAACAGCAGAAGCUAUGUGUUUCACUUGACGCCAUAUCCAAAACAAGAAUGAAAUUGUAUUGUUUUGUGGCUGUCUUUUGUAUCAAGUUGCCAGAGAAAGCUUAAUUUAGGCAGUGGCUACGAUGAGGGCCAAUAGUGCAUUCCCGGUAACCUAGGUUUAAAACGAACAAUUUUCUGCAGUUUGCAGUAGCGUAGAUAAUUUUAAAACUGAUCGCUGCAAAUAGAAGGACUUGAGCGAAGAUUAUGUGAUUCAGGUUCACUGGCGCAAACAUUCUUCAAAUAAAUGUUAAAAUACACUCAGUAAACUUUGAAGUUAAAAUUUCAAGACGGAAUGUAGCACCAAGGCAUUGCUUUACAUUAUCAAUACACAAAAUUUAAAAUUGUUAAAAAAGUUGUUUAAGUUAAUAUUUCCGAAAUCUCAUUUUUUGUUAUGAAAACACUAUAAACGGUUAGCUAAAUAUUUGUUGUCUGAUCAUGGCAAACUGAGAGAGAAAAAGUUACGAUGGCAGUUCGUAACGUUAAUGACUUUUGGCCGAUAGCUACAAUUUUCCACCGCCGUGCAUCGGAAAUUGCCAUUCUCCGCCACAAACAUUUGCCGAACUUUUUCGGAUACAUUAUUUUU